rnacentral:rRNA from 1 species
UUAGAUACCCUAUUAUUUUUAUUAAAAAAUUAAAUUUUAAUUUAAAUAUUAAAUGUUAAGCAUUAAAAAUAAAAAAUUUGGCGGUACUUAAUAUUUAGAGGAACUUGUUUGUUAAAUUGAUAAUCCACGAAUGGAGAAACUUAAUUUUAAAAUUUUAUGUAUUGUUGUUGGAAAAUUAUAUUAAUAGAUAAUUAAUUAAGAAAUUUUAUAGAAUUAUAAUUCAAAUCAAAAUGUAGAAUAAUUAAGAAGUUAAUGAGUUACGAAUUAAUUAGAUAAUUGGAUUUUAUUAUUAUAUUAAUUUAAUUUAUAAAUGAAAAUGGAUUUAAAAAGUAAAUGUAUAAAAAAUUAUAAGUGAA